rnacentral:rRNA from 1 species
GCCUAACACAUGCAAGUCGAACGGUAACAGGAAGAAGCUUGCUUCUUUGCUGACGAGUGGCGGACGGGUGAGUAAUGUCUGGGAAACUGCCUGAUGGAGGGGGAUAACUACUGGAAACGGUAGCUAAUACCGCAUAACGUCGCAAGACCAAAGAGGGGGACCUUCGGGCCUCUUGCCAUCGGAUGUGCCCAGAUGGGAUUAGCUUGUUGGUGGGGUAACGGCUCACCAAGGCGACGAUCCCUAGCUGGUCUGAGAGGAUGACCAGCCACACUGGAACUGAGACACGGUCCAGACUCCUACGGGAGGCAGCGGUGGGGAAUAUUGCACAAUGGGCGCAAGCCUGAUGCAGCUAUGCCGCGUGUAUGAAGAAGGCCUUCGGGUUGUAAAGUACUUUCAGCGGGGAGGAAGGGAGUAAAGUUAAUACCUUUGCUCAUUGACGUUACCCGCAGAAGAAGCACCGGCUAACUCCGUGCCCGCAGCCGCGGUAAUACGGAGGGCGCAAGCGUUAAUCGGAAUUACUGGGCGUAAAGCGCACGCAGGCGGUUGUUAAAGUCAGAUGUGAAAUCCCCGGGCUCAACCUGGGAACUGCAUCUGAUACUGGCAAGCUUGAGUCUCGUAGAGGGGGGUAGAAUUCCAGGUGUAGCGGUGAAAUGCGUAGAGAUCUGGAGGAAUACCGGUGGCGAAGGCGGCCCCCUGGACGAAGACUGACGCUCAGGUGCGAAAGCGUGGGGAGCAAACAGGAUUAGAUACCCUGGUAGUCCACGCCGUAAACGAUGUCGACUUGGAGGUUGUGCCCUUGAGGCGUGGCUUCCGGAGCUAACGCGUUAAGUCGACCGCCUGGGGAGUACGGCCGCAAGGUUAAAACUCAAAUGAAUUGACGGGGGCCCGCACAAGCGGUGGAGCAUGUGGUUUAAUUCGAUGCAACGCGAAGAACCUUACCUGGUCUUGACAUCCACAGAACUUUCCAGAGAUGGAUUGGUGCCUUCGGGAACUGUGAGACAGGUGCUGCAUGGCUGUCGUCAGCUCGUGUUGUGAAAUGUUGGGUUAAGUCCCGCAACGAGCGCAACCCUUAUCCUUUGUUGCCAGCGGUCCGGCCGGGAACUCAAAGGAGACUGCCAGUGAUAAACUGGAGGAAGGGGGGGAUGACGUCAAGUCAUCAUGGCCCUUACGACCAGGGCUACACACGUGCUACAAUGGCGCAUACAAAGAGAAGCGACCUCGCGAGAGCAAGCGGACCUCAUAAAGUGCGUCGUAGUCCGGAUUGGAGUCUGCAACUCGACUCCAUGAAGUCGGAAUCGCUAGUAAUCGUGGAUCAGAAUGCCACGGUGAAUACGUUCCCGGGCCUUGUACACACCGCCCGUCACACCAUGGGAGUGGGUUGCAAAAGAAGUAGGUAGCUUAACCUUCGGGAGGGCGCUUACCACUUUGUGAUUCAUGACUGGGGUGAAGUCGUA